GCCCCGCUAGCUCAAUGGUCAGAGCGUGAGACUUUUACGAUGUAAAAUGGGUGAUCUCAAGGUUGCGGGUUCGAGUCCCGCGUGGGGCU